rnacentral:rRNA from 1 species
GAGCGCACCCACAUCUUUAGUUGCCAUCAGGUUAAGCUGGGCACUCUAGAGAAACUGCCCGUGAUAAGCGGGAGGAAGGUGUGGAUGACGUCAAGUCCUCAUGGCCCUUACGGGUUGGGCUACACACGUGCUACAAUGGCAUCAACAAUGGGUUAAUCCCUAAAAGAUGUCUCAGUUCGGAUUGGGGUCUGCAACUCGACCCCAUGAAGUCGGAAUCGCUAGUAAUCGCGUAACAGCAUGACGCGGUGAAUACGUUCCCGGGCCUUGCACACACCGCCCGU